CAGGCAUCUGGAAGGCAAGGAAGCAGGCCAGAGGUCACACGGGAAGAGACGUCCUCCAUCCUGAACCAAAGAGCACGGGCCUGCCUGGCGGCUCCUGGGACAUGGCCCCGGCCACUUCCAAGCUCUUUAAGAGGACUUGGUGACACAGCUGCAUUCAGGUGUGUGGUCAGCACGUGCUUACCAGAGUCUCCGCAGCACACGCUGGUUUGCUGCCACCAUGAGGAUGGGGGCAGGGUACCUACAGGCAGAGGAAAUGCCGCCGCCUCCAGGAAGUAACUGUCUCCCAGGGAGGUGACACCACUCCAGUUAAACCCACACAGUGAAUGUCACUUUCUACAAGGAAGGCUGAAGCCUGGCUGACCCCCAGGAUGAUGAGGGCUUAUGAAGUGACUGAGAAAAGCCCUGGAAUCUUCCCCGGCUUUGAGCUCUGCAGGGCCACAGACGAAGGCUCAGGGUGGCUGCCCUGGCAGGGUAUGGCUGGAGCUGAGACCAGACCAGCCCGAGGUCAGAAGCUCCUGGGCAGUUUUUCUUUUUUUUUGAGCUGGAUUCUCACUCUGUCACUCAGGCUGGAGUGUAGUGGUACGAUCUCAGCCCACUGCAACCUCCUGCCUCCCAAGUUCAGGUAAUUCUCCCACCUCAGCCUCCCAUGUAGCUGGGACUACAGAUGCCCAUCUGGCUAAUUUUGUAUUUUUAGUAGAGAUGGAGUUUCACCAUGUUGGCCAGGCUGGUCUUGAACUCCUCAGACGAUCCAUCCGCCUCAGCCUCCUAAAGUGUAGGAUUACAGGCAUGAGCUACCAUGCCUGGCUAAAUUUUGUGUUUCCGGUAAAGAGAGGGUUUCGUCAUGUGGACCCAGGCUAGUCUCAAACUCCUGCCCUCAGGCAAUCUGCCUGCCUCGGCCUCCCAUAGUGCUGGGAUUACAGGCAUGAGCCACCAUGCCCAGCUGGCAGUUCUCAGCUCAGCAUGCCACAGCUUCCCUCCUGCACUCAGCGCCAGAUCAGAGGGUUCAGCCGUGAGCUCGGAGCUGUCUCCUGGAGCAUGUGUGUUAAGGUGGAGGCUGAGACAGGGCCUGGGCAUCUGAUUUUUUAGGUGCCCAGGGGUGCUGACACCACUGCUGGGACCCCACUCUGAGGACCACCAGCUUGGAUGAAAGAGAGCCCGUCUCUCCCACCCCAAGCUGGACAAGACCUUCACUGCCUUCCCAGAUGUGAGCCACAGCAGGAGGGCAGGGCCUGCAGUCCCCAGCAUCUGCCCUGCACCGGGGCUUGAGCAAGCAGUGGAGUCCCUUGCUCACCUCCUUCCAGAAGAUAAAGAGGGUCCCACUGAUGAUGACGGCCGCGGACAUGAGGAUCUUCAGGAUGAGGGCUCUGCUGAGGAUGGUGUCCCCCACGCUCCGUGGUGGCUGCCUGAGGGCGUCUUUGUCAACGGGCUCUACCCCCAGGCUGCUCCCAACAAAACACAGACACUUGGAAAUGAACCAGGACUGAAAAAAGGACACUUGAAACAGCUGUGCCUACAUCUUCCAGGACAAGCUGGCAGUGGGCAGGGCCAGGCAUUUGCUGAAUGCCCCCAGGCAUCCCGCAUGUCCUCUUUGGCGCCUUCCAGAAGCCCCAGAGCCUAGGCCCCUCCAUCUGCCCCCAGACAGUGAAGGAAGACCACCCAGUGAGGCCAACCACACACAGUUCCAUACGCCCAGGCUCACUCCAUCACCACAAGGGGACCCCCAACGUUGGGCCUGGAGAAACAGGCUCUGCCCUCCGCAGGGCCCCUCAUCGGUGGAGGAAGACCUGCCUCCAGCCAACUCCACACAGCAGGGUUGACGCUAGACCAGCAGCGGGCGGCAUGGCAGGAGCAGCUGGGUGACACCCCACUGCUCAGACACAGCUGAGGCCAGCUUCUUGGCCCCAUUUCCGCUCGCGGGGACCGGGGGCAGGAGAGGUAACCCUCACACUUGGCUGUGGGGACACAAAUGAGGACUCUUUCCCUUGGCCGCUGGCAAUGGUGAUAACAGCAGCACUGAGCCAGCUCCAGUGGAAGCACUGUUGGCUCUGUGCUCACACGGUUACGUUCGCAUGGCCACGUGGGUCCCCUGACUCCAAAGCCCAUUCCUUCCCCUGGGCCACUCGGCUAGCUUAAUAUCCCCUUGUUGUUCGGGAUAUUAAGUUGUGCCACAGGUGAACUCCUGAACACCUACUGGGGUAACAAGUACUUUAUCUCUAGACUGCAGGGAUAAAACAAACUCUGCCUCGAUGAAGCUGAUGUUCUAAAGGGGAGCCAGAUCAUCAUCACAUCCAUAAGGAAAGGUAUGGACGUAUUUCCUCUCUCUGGAAAAAUACAGCAGCAUGAGGAGAUGGAGUGGGAGUGCAAUCAGGGAAGACUUCCUGAAGGCAGUGACGGGAAUGAAGAAUGAGAACGAGCCAGGCAGGCUGCCCAGGGAGAGCAUCCCGGCAGAGGGAGCAGAGAGUUCCAUCCUCUGCCAACCCAGGUACUUUCUCCUCUGCCUUCUACCCUCAGUCUCACUCCAGUGCUAGACACUCCAGUUUUCUGGGAACUCCUGAUGGAAAGUGGCUGUGUUUGUUCAUCCCUAUAGCCUUGGGGCACAGCCAGCAGCCCCUGGAGGAAGCCCUGCAGGGGGGUAACGGGACGUAGAACCCUGCCCGGCCUCACCUCUGCGCAGGGGGCCCGUCCAUGAUGAUGUUGAUCCACAGGAUCUGCAUGGCGUUGAGAGGGCUGGGCAGGUUGAACACGGUGGACAGAGUGAUGAGACUCAGGGCGGAGAUGCUCCUGUGGGGCACACGCAGCCAGUCAGGGGCUGCCCAGCAGGCUUGGCGCCUCAUGCCCUCGGAAAGCCAGCCUCUACUUACGUGCUCAGCUGGAAGCGGACGAAGUUUUUGAUGUUGUAAAAAAUCCCCUUCCCUUCCUCCACUGCAUUCCUGCGAGAGAAGAGAGCCGCUUACUCACAGAGGCCCUGCGGGAGGACUCCAGCAGCCGUGUCGGUUGCUGCAGGGGGCAGUGGUGACGUGCACAGAUGGAUGGCAGACUUGGACUUGCUGGCUUUCUUGGGGACACAUCUGUAGGAGAUGGUGGUAGUCUAACAGGUGACCCUCGGCCACUGGGGACUGAUCCUCAAGCCACGUUUGCCCUUCUGUGCCAAGUGUACAUUUGAUGCCUCCAAUCCAAUCAUAAAUUACUCUCCUGUCGAGCCCAGGGACCCCAUCCCUGCCUGGACUCCUGAGUGUUCCGUGCCUCUCAGCGAUUCACCAAAGAAAAGAAAGACACAGCAAAACCAGUCAGGCCUGAAAGUGAGGUCGGUGGGGGGACAGUAAGAAGGGAGGGAUGGGGAGGCUGAAGGAUGCUACUUACUUGUAUCUUUAGAAGGCUCUUCGUGGAAGCCCUUUUAAACCUUGACCUGGGGUCACUAGUGUCGAAAAGCAAUCUACAAACCACCCCCACCCCCAGAUUUUUCUAAAAAAUUUUGCAAAAGAACUGUAGAGCUGAUAGGACUUUUUUUUUUUUGGUGACUGUGUUAGGGCUUCCUAUGAUGAGUCAGUCGUGGAGACACCUUUGCAAAAUGGGUGAUCACACCUAACCUUAGCAUCUGUUCAUUUGAAUUUCUGAUAACAGCCUUAGAAAAGCUUUCCCUUGCCGGGCGCGGUAGCUCACGCUUGUAAUUUCAGCACUUUGGGAGGCCAAGGUGGGUAGAUCGGGAGGUCAGGAGUUUGAGACCAACAUGGUGAAACCCCAUCUCUACUACAGAUACAAAGAAUUAGCCAGGUGUGGUGGCACACGCCUGUAGUCCCAGCUACUCGUGAGGCUGAGACAGGAGAAUCGCUUGAACCCGGGAGGCAGAGGUUGCGGUGAGCUGAGAUCUCACCAUCACACUCCAGCCUGGGCAACAGGGCGCGACUGUCUCAAAAAAAAUUUUUUUUCCCUUACUUCCAACUACUGUGAUUUCCUUAGGAGGGAGUUUGAACUAAUUAAAAUUAGAUCCAGAGGGAAGGUAAAUAUAUUAAGAAAAAAAAUACAUAAAAGUGAAACGGAACAACUAGCUUUACACAAUCCCAGACCCUAGAGAGCCCACCGGUGGUUCUUUUCAGUGCAUGAGAUGCACAUAUCAACAUGCUGGCCUCCAACUGAGGAGCUUCGCUUCAUCCCUUCUCACCUGACACUCCAGUGCCUGCGUGCCUCUGGCUGCAGGUUUUCCUGACAGAUUCGGCUGCUGUCCACCGGCCUGAGCCAGGCGGGCACUCCCAGUAACACACGAAACACACCCGCAGGCAGCGAAUCCCAUCUCUGCUUCGUGUCUGUAACGUGCCCCAGAGGUCAUGGAUCCCAUGACGCUGCUUUGAGAGGCUCUUGGUGUUUGAGGUUGGGGGCACUGCCACAGUGAUGAACCCCAAGAUUGAGCUCUCCCUGGGGGACUCCUUGAGAUCCCCUCUAUCUCCCCAUGACGCUGCUUUGAGAGGCUCUUGGUGUUUGAGGUUGGGGGCACUGCCACAGUGAUGAACCCCAAGAUUGAGCUCUCCCUGGGGGACUCCUUGAGAUCCCCUCUAUCUCCACAGUAGCAGGUCCCAGGGAGAAACUGGUGACCCCAGGCCUUUUUGCAACUAAAACUACCGAAAGGGCAGCUUACAUGAUGGCUGAGAAGUCAUCGUCCACCAGGAUCAUGUUGGCCGCCUCUUUGCUGACGUCCGUCCCUGUCUGCCCCAUGGCGAUCCCGAUGUCUGCAGACUUCAGGGCCACUGCAUCAUUCACGCCAUCCCCAGUCAUGGCCACGAUCGCCCCUGACUCCUGCAGAGCCUUUGGACAGAACAGCCAUGAAGGCCUGCAGCCCGAGGACCCCUCCUGGCUCCUCCCUUCCCUCCCAGUGCUCUGCCAAGCACAGCACGUGGCCAGAUGCAGAGACCUCUGUCUGGAAGGCACCAGAGUCUGAAUUCCAGCUUCACCCACAUUAGCUGUAGGAACUGGGCGAGCCCUUGACCCUCUCAACCUCAGUUUCCCCAUCUGCAAAGUGGGAGCAACCGUUCCUUCUUCCCAGGGCUGUUGUGAGGCCCAAAGUAAGAUGACGGAUGUGACGGUGCCCAGCACGGUCAGCAAGGGCUCAUAAAGGCUAUCUAUCAUCACCAGUGAUAACUAGUAAUACAAGGUGCAGCCCUAAAACCAUGAGAGACCCGGUAAGUACUACUGCUUUCUUUGAGGAGUAACUCACAUAGGGAUUUACUCUGCAGAACUAAAAAGAACAUGAAAGAAAGUCCAUCUGCUGAAAGAGCUCCAGGCAAACAUUCAGAGUGCGCGCAGGCGAGAAACGCACUUUCCGCCUCUCAGUUUUUGGAUGCAGGGUCACAAAAUCACAGCAGCUCUUCACGGGACACCUGCUGUGUGCCUGGCUUUGUUCAGCACUCUCACCAGCCCUGCAAAUUAGCUGACGGCAUUCAUAGUCCCCCCAUUUUGCAGAGGAGGAAACUGAGGCACAGAGCGAGGCAGGUGCAUCACCUGAGGUCAGGAGUUGGAGACCAGCCUGGCAAACAUGGCGAAACGCUGUCUCUACUACAAACACAAAUUAGCCAGGUGUGCUGGUGCACACCGUAAUCCCACCUACUUGGGAGGCUGAGGCAGCAGAAUUGCUUGACCCUGGAAGGCAGAGGUUGAAAUGAGCCGAGAUUGUGCCACUCACUCCAGCCUGGGUGACAGUGAGACUCUGUACCGCCCUCCACCAAAAGAAAAAAAAAAAAAGCAUCUGCUGUAGUUUUUCCCUGUGCAUGCUCCAGUUACGGCUCUGUUUUCAGCCUCUGUGGCAAGGGUCCCCCAGUUCUCCCCUCCUCCUUAAAAGGACCCCCAGGCUCACUGGAGCUCGUGUCCACCCUGCUAGAGACGACACUUCCUGACAUCCUCUGCAGCUAAACCUGGGCCUGUGACUGCGUUCUGGCCAAGGGGCUGUGAGCACAAGUGAUGCUGGCAACUUCAGGGCCCCGUCCUCUCCAAGGGGGCUGCCCACCUGCUCCUGCUCCUCCUCCUCCCCCUCCCUCCCCAGGCUGUGAAAACGUAACCCCUGGGGCAGCUGCCCUGGACCUAGAGAAGGAAGCCACGCUUGAGCCCUGUGCUACCACCCGACAGACACGUGAGCUCCUCCAGCCACAGUAUCUCUGGCCCGGCCCCAGUGGCACAGCCUGUGCCCGCCUUGCCCCGCAAACCUUGAUGAUUUUGAGCUUGUGCUUUGGGCUGGUCCUGAAGAACACGGACACCUGGACAUGGAUACAGGGAAGGUGAAGAAUCAGAUUUCAGAGCUGUGACCCAGCCCCACUGCCAGCCGCGCCUCCGGAGACCCACCUUCCCCACGCGGUCGGCCAGCUCGCCCUUCUCUACGCCGUCCACCUCCUCCCCGGACAUGGCUUGCAGCUUCCUGUUGCAGAGGCCAAUGUUUCUUCCUGCAGGAGAACCUGCUCUGAGGGCCGGCUCCAAGGUCCCCUUCCCCCCCGCUCCCAGCCGUACCUUAGCCAUGGACAACACCAAGAAUAAACCCACGCUGGAGAUGGUGUCCUGGGCACCCCCUGUGCCGUGUGGCCUCAGUGCUUUCCACAGGACUAACUGACACCAAACACCUCAUUAUCCCCACUUUAAAGAUGAGGAAAGAAAGGAGUGACCUAUCCGAGGACACACAGCUGAUAAGGAGUAACUCUGGAAGCCCACACGGCUUUCAUUCCAAGGCCCAUGGACCUUUUCAUAGCACCAGGCAGGGGGAGGGGGAAAGGAGGGAGGGAGGAGGAGGAAGAGAUUCAUGGGCCUGGCUUUGUUUAAUCCUCUCCCCAACCCUGUGAAUUAGCUGUACCCCUAUUUUACAGAGGAGGAAACUGAGGCACAGUUGAAUAACAGGAAUAAUGCCAAGGAAUGCCCAGCACUUGGGAAGGCCAAGGCGGGCAGAUCACCUGAGGUCAGGAGUUUGAGACCAGCCUGGUCAACAUAGCAAAACCCUGUCUCUACUAAAAAUACAAAAUUAGCCAGGUGUGGUGGUACACGCUGUAAUCCCAGCUACUUGGGAGGCUGAGGCAGGAGAAUCCCUUGAACCUGGGAGGCAGACGUUGAAGUAAGCCGAGAUUGUGCCACUGCACUCCAGCCUGGGUGACAGCGUGAGACUCAGUACUGCUCCCCACCAAAAAAAGACAAAAGAUAGCAUCUGUUGUAGGUUUCCUCUAACCUACAACAGUUAAGGGAGGAGGAGAAAGGAGGAAAAAGAAAGGAGGAGGAAGAAAAAGGGAGGAGGAGAGAGGAUGAGGACGGGGGAGAAGGCUGCCAGCCCUCUACUGAUGAAGAGACUGAGGGUCAGAGUGGUUCAACGGUUUGCCAAGGGUACAGCAGACUCAAACUACAUGGGCAUGAGGCUGCUUGUGAAGAUAGUGGAUGAAAAGCCCCUGACACAUCGUAGGCCUUCAGUAUCCAUGAGAACGUUUCCCCUUUUGCAGAACCUGCCAACAUUUCAGAAACUGGAACACCUCAGAGGAUGGAAAGCUGACCCAUGAAUCUCAGCAUCUUUUCUAAGCCUAUAGGGCUCGACAUGAGCACUCCUGACCGAGUUAGCUGAGGCUUUCCUAUGGCAGCAGCCCCCCAUAGUAAAGGAUGGAUGGGUCCUUUCAUCCUCAACCCCCACCCUGUUCAGUUACCUAUGGCCAAGGCCGUCUCCAGAGCAUCUCCUGUUACCAUCUUCACGGACACGCCUGACUCGGAGAGAACCUGAACUGCUUCCUUCACGCCAGCCCUCGGGGGAUCGAUGAUGCCCACGAGACCCAGGAAUGUCAGCUGUCCCAGCUCGGGCCCAGAAGCCAGGGCCAGCACUGCAGAGAGGGGGAGAGAAAAGAGGGUUCACUGGGGACUUAGGGGCCAUUUUUUUGUGUUUUGUUUUUUUCUUGAGAGGGAGUUUCGUUCUUGUUGCCCAGGCUGGAGUGCAGUGGCACCAUCUCAGCUCACUGCCCAGGUUCAAAUGAUUCCACUGCCUCAGCCUCCUGAGUAGCCAGGAUUACAGGUGCUCACCACCACGCCCAGCUAAUUUUCAUAUUUUUAGUAGAGACAGGGUUUCACCAUGUUGGUCAGGCUGCUCUCAAACUCCUGACCUCAGGUGAUCUUCCCACCUCAGCCUCCCAAAGUGCUGGGAUUACUGGUGUGAGCCACCGCACCCAGUUGUUAGUUCCCAGCCAGCCCCCACCAUGGCCCAGAUCCUCCUCGGUCUGCAGGGGGCUCAGGCAGCAAGUUCCUAGACUGCAAAGGGAGGGCAGAGAUGCUGCCAGUGGCUCUCAGGCCUGUGAAGAUGCACACCAGAGAGGGAAGCCAGAAACAGCCACGUAGCAGAAAGCAUCACUGCUGUCCACGUGAUACAGUUUGGCUGUAUCCCCACCAAAUCUCAUCUUGAACUGUGGCUCCUGUAAUUCCCAUGUGUUGUGGGAGGGACCUGGUGGGAGGUUAGUGAAUCAUACCGGUGGUUUCCCCGUACUGUUCUGUGGUAGUGAAUAAGUCUCAUGAGAGCUGAUAAUUUCAUGAGAGGUUUCCUCUUUUUCUUGGCUCUCAUUCCCUCUUGCUAGCCACCAGGUAAGAUGUGCCUUUCACCUUGUGCCAUGACUGUGAGGCCUCCCCAGCCACGUGGAACUGUGAGUCCAUUAAAUUUCUUUUUCUUUAUAAAUUA